rnacentral:rRNA from 1 species
GACGAACGCUGGCGGCGUGCCUAAUACAUGCAAGUCGAGCGGACUUUCAAGAAGCUUGCUUUUUGAAAGUUAGCGGCGGACGGGUGAGUAACACGUGGGCAACCUGCCUGCAAGACGGGGAUAACUCCGGGAAACCGGGGCUAAUACCGGAUAAUAUCUUCCUUCGCAUGAAGGAAGGUUGAAAGGCGGCGCAAGCUGCCGCUUGCAGAUGGGCCCGCGGCGCAUUAGCUAGUUGGUGAGGUAACGGCUCACCAAGGCGACGAUGCGUAGCCGACCUGAGAGGGUGAUCGGCCACACUGGGACUGAGACACGGCCCAGACUCCUACGGGAGGCAGCAGUAGGGAAUCUUCCGCAAUGGACGAAAGUCUGGCGGAGCAACGCCGCGUGAGCGAAGAAGGUCUUCGGAUCGUAAAGCUCUGUUGUCAGGGAAGAACAAGUACCGUUCGAACAGGGCGGUACCUUGACGGUACCUGACCAGAAAGCCACGGCUAACUACGUG